UACGGAGGAUGCAAGCGUUAUCCGGAAUUAUUGGGCGUAAAGCGUCCGCAGGUGGUUGAACAAGUCUGCUGUCAAAGCGCGGAGCUUAACUCCGUAAGGGCGGUGGAAACUGUUUAACUAGAGUACGGUAGGGGUAGCGGGAAUUCCCGGUGUAGCGGUGAAAUGCGUAGAUAUCGGGAAGAACACCAGCGGCGAAAGCG
rnacentral:rRNA from 1 species